rnacentral:rRNA from 1 species
UACGUAGGGUGCGAGCGUUGUCCGGAAUUAUUGGGCGUAAAGAGCUUGUAGGUGGUUUGUCGCGUCUGCUGUGAAAACCCGAGGCUCAACCUCGGGCCUGCAGUGGGUACGGGCAGACUAGAGUGCGGGUAGGGGAGAUUGGAAUUCCUGGUGUAGCGGUGGAAUGCGCAGAUAUCAGGAGGAACACCGAUGGCGAGGGCAGAUCUCUGGGCCGUAACUGACGCUGAGGAGCGAAAGCGUGGGGAGCGAACAGG